rnacentral:rRNA from 1 species
UACGUAGGGUGCGAGCGUUAAUCGGAAUUACUGGGCGUAAAGGGUGCGCAGGCGGUUCUGCAAGUCAGGCGUGAAAUCCCCGGGCUUAACCUGGGAAUGGCGCUUGAAACUACGGACUGGAGUAUGGCAGAGGGAGGUGGAAUUCCACGUGUAGCGGUGAAAUGCGUAGAGAUGUGGAGGAACACCGAUGGCGAAGGCAGCCUCCUGGGACGUUACUGACGCUGAGGCGCGAAAGCUAGGGGAGCAAACGGG